GGGCUCAUGUGUCACUCCUUUUCUUCCCCUUUACACUUGCAGCCCUUCCGAUGCCUUUCUGUUCACUUGUCCACAUUCACCUCUCUGUUUCCUUUGACUGGGCCUUGAGUGACCUACCACAAUAGCGGAGCUGACCAAACGCAGAGUGCCUGUAUUUCAACAUUCAGGAGGCUGACUCUGCAAUCCCAAGACCCUUCGAGAAGGUGGAGACCAAGUUGGAGAACCUCCCACCUCCUCCAGGCUUCUGAGGCUCUUCACCUUUAAGAUGAAGCAAAGCCAGACUCUGGCAACCACUGGGUGCUGAGGGCUCGGGGGUCAGAGGGGUCUGAGAGGCCCCGUCCAGGCUGCAGCCAGCCAAGCCAGGCUCUUCUGCCCUUUCCAAGACCCAGAGAAGGUCUGGACCGAGAGACACUGCUGCUACCCAAGGGAAAGGCGCCUGAGGGAAGGGACUGCCGAGACCUUCCUGCAGGAGACAACGAGGGCUCUCUCCAGCUCUGCGGGACAGAAGAGCAGCCAGGGACAGGGGUGCUGACCCGGCAGUUCCAGGUCUUAGUCAUUUCCACGCCCCAGCAGAAUGGCCCGCAGCACCCCCAACCUUCUGGGACUUGGACGAGCUUGGAGGAAUCCACGAGCAUUAGGGAGCCCUGGAGGAGGGGUGAAGGUUCAGGAAAGCAGCCAGGACCCAGCCGCGUCUGCCGGCCGGUACCCAGCGAGCCAGUCCAUCCGACACGCGUGGCACAGACACCGUCGUGGGUGAGACCAACUCAACAUCUUAGACGCGAGAGGGUGUGGGACGAGUUCCCCUUCCAACGAGUAAAUUGGCAGGGCCACUAAUUAAGUUGAAAGGAACGUCUGAGUCACGCUUCCUGGCCCGCUGUCUCCCUCUUCCGGUCUCCCACUCUAUCUGCGAGGAGCCCACUUCUCCCUGGGAAAACAGUGUGGUAACACAUUUGACACUAACGCAGACGCUAAUGAUCUCAAGUUGCUCCAACCAAAUCUGAGGAGUUUUGCUGUGAUACAAAUAAAUAUGUGCUUUGGGCUGUGAUUUUUUUUUCCAGCUAAGCUAUUUGGAGUCCCACACAUUUGUUUUCUCCCCUUUUUCUCUCUAAAUCACAAGGGUUUUCAGAAAUACAGGGUGUGCAUCUUGGGAAAGCGGAUGAUGUAGGGAAUGUGGGGAACCCUAAGUCGCCCGAGUCCUGUGGAAUAGGAACGUCAUGG
rnacentral:lncRNA from 1 species